rnacentral:rRNA from 1 species
AUCAACUUUCGAUGGUAGGAUAGAGGCCUACCAUGGUGGUAACGGGUAACGGGGUGUUAGGGCACGACACCGGAGAGGGAGCCUGAGAAACGGCUACCACAUCCAAGGAUGGCAGCAGGCGCGCAAAUUACCCAAUCCCGACACGGGGAGGUAGUGACAAUAAAUAACAAUACGGGGUUCUUUCGGAUUUCGUAAUUGGAAUGAGUACAAUUUAAAUCUCUUAACGAGGAACAAUUGGAGGGCAAGUCUGGUGCCAGCAGCCGCGGUAAUUCCAGCUCCAAUAGCGUAUAUUAAAGUUGCUGCAGUUAAAAAGCUCGUAGUUGAAUUUCGGGAUCAUCAUGUCGGUCGUGCCUCGGUACGUACUGGCAUGUUGGUUUCUCCCUUCUGACGAACCAUGAUGUCAUUUAUUUGGUGUUGUGGGGAAUCAGGACUGUUACUUUGAAAAAAUUAGAGUGUUUAAAGCAGGCUCACGCUUGAAUACAUUAGCAUGGAAUAAUGAAAUAGGACGUUUGAUUCUAUUUUGUUGGUUUCUAGGAUCGACGUAAUGAUUAAUAGGGAUAGUUGGGGGCAUUAGUAUUCAAUUGUCAGAGGUGAAAUUCUUGGAUUUAUUGAAGACUAACUACUGCGAAAGCAUUUGCCAAGGAUGUUUUCAUUAAUCAAGAACGAAAGUUAGGGGAUCGAAGACGAUCAGAUACCGUCGUAGUCUUAACCAUAAACUAUGCCGACUAGGGAUCGGAUGAUGUUAAUUUUUUAAUGACUCAUUCGGCGCCUUACGGGAAACCAAAGUGUUUGGGUUC